rnacentral:rRNA from 1 species
GUCGACGGCAGCAUGAUCUAGCUUGCUAGAUUGAUGGCGAGUGGCGAACGGGUGAGUAAUACAUCGGAACGUGCCCUGUAGUGGGGGAUAACUAGUCGAAAGAUUAGCUAAUACCGCAUACGACCUGAGGGUGAAAGUGGGGGACCGCAAGGCCUCAUGCUAUAGGAGCGGCCGAUGUCUGAUUAGCUAGUUGGUGGGGUAAAGGCCCACCAAGGCGACGAUCAGUAGCUGGUCUGAGAGGACGAUCAGCCACACUGGGACUGAGACACGGCCCAGACUCCUACGGGAGGCAGCAGUGGGGAAUUUUGGACAAUGGGCGAAAGCCUGAUCCAGCAAUGCCGCGUGUGUGAAGAAGGCCUUCGGGUUGUAAAGCACUUUUGUCCGGAAAGAAAUGGCUCUGGUUAAUACCUGGGGUCGAUGACGGUACCGGAAGAAUAAGGACCGGCUAACUACGUGCCAGCAG